ACUAACAAGGUUCCCCCUAGUAACUGCGAGUGAAGCGGGAAGACCUCAAAUUUGAAAUCUGAUGGUUUUUGACUGUCCGAGUUGUAAUCUAGAGAAGUGUUACCUGUGCUGGACCAUGUACAAGUCUUCUGGAAUGGAGCAUCAUAGAGGGUGAGAAUCCCGUCUUUGACAUGGACUACCUGUACGUUGUGGUAUGCUCUCAAAGAGUCGAGUUGUUUGGGAAUGCAGCUCAAAAUGGGUGGUAAAUGCCAUCUAAAGCUAAAUAUUGGCGAGAGACCGAUAGCGAACAAGUACCGUGAGGGAAAGAUGAAAAGAACUUUGGAAAGAGAGUUAAACAGUACGUGAAAUUGCUGAAAGGGAAACGCUUGAAGUCAGUCACGUUGGCUAGAAAUCAGCCUUGCUUCUGCUUGGUGUACUUUCUGGUUGACGGGUCAGCAUCAAUUUUGACCAUUGGAUAAAGUCUCUGGGAAUGUGGCAUCUUUUUUUAGAUGUGUUAUAGCCCAUUGUCGCAUACGGUGGUUGGGAUUGAGGAACUCAGCAUGCUCUGAAAAAUGGGCCAGGUUUCGACCAUGUUCAUGCUUAGGAUGCUGGCAUAAUGGCUUCAAUCGACCCGUCUUGAAACACGGACCAAGGAGUCUAACAUGCCUGCGAGUGU
rnacentral:rRNA from 1 species